GUUGUAUGGUUAAGUGACUAAGCGUACACGGUGGAUGCCUUGGCAGUCAGAGGCGAUGAAAGGCGUAAUAACUUGCGAUAAGCCCAGAUUAGGUAGUAAUAACCUUUUGAGUCUGGGAUUCCUGAAUGGGGAAACCCACUUACAUAAGUAAGUAUCCUGUUGUGAAUACAUAGCAACAGGAGGCAAACCGGGGGAACUGAAACAUCUAAGUACCCCGAGGAAGAGAAAUCAACCGAGAUUCCGAAAGUAGCGGCGAGCGAAAUUGGAUUAGCCCUUAAGCUUUUAAUGAGACAGACGAAGGUUCUGGAAAGUGCCGCAAUAAAGGGUGAUAGCCCCGUAGUCGACAUCUCAUCAUCAGUG
rnacentral:rRNA from 1 species